rnacentral:rRNA from 1 species
AGAGUUGAUCAUGGCUCAGACGAACGCUGGCGGCGUGCUUAACACAUGCAAAUCGAACGAGAAUCACUGGAAGGAGUUUCGGACAACGGAAGGUGAGGAAAGUGGCGGACGGGUGAGUAACGCGUGAGGAACCUGCCUUGGAGAGGGGGACAACAGCUGGAAACGGCUGCUAAUACCGCAUGACGCAACGAAGUCGCAUGGCUUUGUUGCCAAAGAUUUAUCGCUCUGAGAUGGCCUCGCGUCUGAUUAGGUAGUUGGUGAGGUAACGGCCCACCAAGCCGACGAUCAGUAGCCGGACUGAGAGGUUGAACGGCCACAUUGGGACUGAGAUACGGCCCAGACUCCUACGGGAGGCAGCAGUGGGGAAUAUUGGGCAAUGGGCGCAAAGCCUGACCCAGCAACGCCGCGUGAAGGAAGAAGGCUUUCGGGUUGUAAACUUCUUUUAAGAGGGAAGAGCAGAAGACGGUACCUCUAGAAUAAGCCACGGCUAACUACGUGCCAGCCGCCGC